rnacentral:rRNA from 1 species
AGGAAUAUUGGUCAAUGGACGAGAGUCUGAACCAGCCAAGUAGCGUGAAGGAUGACUGCCCUAUGGGUUGUAAACUUCUUUUAUACGGGAAUAAAGUUAGCCACGUGUGGCUUUUUGUAUGUACCGUAUGAAUAAGGAUCGGCUAACUCCGUGCCAGCAGCCGCGGUAAUACGGAGGAUCCGAGCGUUAUCCGGAUUUAUUGGGUUUAAAGGGAGCGUAGGCGGGUUGUUAAGUCAGUUGUGAAAGUUUGCGGCUCAACCGUAAAAUUGCAGUUGAUACUGGCGACCUUGAGUGCAACAGAGGUAGGCGGAAUCCGUGGUGUAGCGGUGAAAUGCUUAGAUAUCACGAAGAACUCCGAUUGCGAAGGCAGCUUACUGGAUUGUAACUGACGCUGAUGCUCGAAAGUGUGGGUAUCAAACAGGAUUAGAUACCCUGGUAGUCCACACAGUAAACGAUGAAUACUCGCUGUUGGCGAUAUACUGUCAGCGGCCAAGCGAAAGCAUUAAGUAUUCCACCUGGGGAGUACGCCGGCAACGGUGAAACUCAAAGGAAUUGACGGGGGCCCGCACAAGCGGAGGAACAUGUGGUUUAAUUCGAUGAUACGCGAGGAACCUUACCCGGGCUUAAAUUGCAACUGACGGAACUGGAAACGGUUCUUUCUUCGGACAGUUGUGAAGGUGCUGCAUGGUUGUCGUCAGCUCGUGCCGUGAGGUGUCGGCUUAAGUGCCAUAACGAGCGCAACCCUUAUCGAUAGUUACUAGCAGGUCAUGCUGAGGACUCUAUUGAGACUGCCGUCGUAAGAUGUGAGGAAGGUGGGGAUGACGUCAAAUCAGCACGGCCCUUACGUCCGGGGCUACACACGUGUUACAAUGGGGGGUACAGAAGGCAGCUACACGGCGACGUGGUGCUAAUCCCGAAAGCCUCUCUCAGUUCGGAUUGGAGUCUGCAACCCGACUCCAUGAAGCUGGAUUCGCUAGUAAUCGCGCAUCAGCCACGGCGCGGUGAAUACGUUCCCG